UACGAAGGGGGCUAGCGUUGCUCGGAAUCACUGGGCGUAAAGGGUGCGUAGGCGGGGCUUUAAGUCAGGGGGGAAAUCCUGGAGCUCAACUCCAGAACUGCCUUUGAUACUGAGGAUCUUGAGUUCGGGAGAGGUGAGUGGAACUGCGAGUGUAGAGGUGAAAUUCGUAGAUAUUCGCAAGAACACCAGUGGCGAAGGCGGCUCUCUGGCCCGAUACUGACGCUGAGGCACGAAAGCGUGGGGAGCAAACAGG
rnacentral:rRNA from 1 species